GGAAGAGUGGCAGAGCGGCCUAAUGCGGCUGUCUUGAAAACAGCUGUCGGCGAUAGCCGACCGGGGGUUCGAAUCCCUCCUCUUCCG
rnacentral:tRNA from 3 species